rnacentral:lncRNA from 1 species
UUUUCUCUCCUUCAAACCCCUACACCAUCUCUAUUUCCCCCACCUCCAUCCCCUGCACCAGCAUCACUGCCGCGGGAAAGCACAACCCUUAAUCACGGCACCAGCAACUCCUCCUUACCCACCAAAAUCAUCAAGGCCAUCGGCCCAACCUUGUUCCACUCUGUUGCCGCCGUCCUUCCAUUUCCUUUUUUUCCAUCCAAAACUUUCACCCCCAGUCUUUCCUUACUCCAAUAAAAAUCUGUUUCCAAAAUCCAUCCAAAACUGUUUCCAAUUCUCAUUUUUCACGUUGAUAAUUCUCUUGCCAAACAAAAUCACUCGUGCAGUUUUCAAGAUCUGGCAUCGGACAGGAAGCCUUUUACACUGGCGAGGUAUCAUAGUUGAGCUUGAAUGAUUUUCAAAAUUGAUAGGUACCAUCCAAAUGUUACGGGGAAAUUCUGGAUGGAAUUGGCAGCAUGCUGGUGCUUAAUUACCUUGAUUUUUCUCGAAAUUCAUUUUCUGGUAGUUCCAAUGUUCGCUAAAAAAUUUGUUGAAUUGGAGUAAAUUGUUGAAGUGGAGUAAAAUUUUUGAAUUGGAGUAAAAUUUUCUGGGAGCUUAGGUGGUUUACUGCAUAUGAACAGAGUAAAAUUGUUGAAUUGAGGGAUUAGGUUCAAGAUUGUGUUGGAUGCUGUUGAGAGGAACGAGUAUUUGCAAUGGCGAGGCAUGGCUAUUGUUGAGUAUUUUUUGGGGAAGAAGAUGAAUUAGGUUGGUUGGGGUGGGGCAGGGGUGAGGUGGAGUUAAUUGUUUGAAUACUCACUGAACUUUAAAGGGCGCCACGUUUCACUCACUGAAUUUUACUUUGCACCCAAUUACUCACUGAACUUUGGAAGGGCGUCACAUUUCACUCACUGAACUUUACUUUGCACCCAAUUACUUACUGAACUUUGUAAACUUGCACUUCAUCACUCAUCAGGUUAAAUAGUUAAUUGUUUGAAUACUUACCGAACUUUACAAGACGUCACAUUUCACCAACUCAACUUUACUUUGCACCCAAUUACUCACUGAACUUUGUAAAUUUGCACUUCAUCACUCACCAGGAACCGUUUGUUCUGUUUGCCUAUGUGGAUGACGGCUUUAACACGUGGCAGUUAAAUUUGACAAACAUAACAAUGAAUUGCCAAAUCAUAUAUCCAAAAGGACCCAAUUAUGCCUCACCGUUUUCAACACAUAAAUCGCGAUUGGAACCCUAAUCUCUUAAAAUAGGCUGC